rnacentral:lncRNA from 10 species
GAGGUGUCACUGUGAGCUGUGUCGGUGCCUUAAGAGAUAUCUGUUGUGUCUUAUUACUUGGUUGCUUUUCCCCACAUGUACAAUGACAAAAAUGCCUUCAACCUAUUUGAUCCAGCCGUUCCAGUACAACUCCUAUACUUGCCAUCUUUCCAAGCCCAAAGCUAUAGUUCCUCAUGGUCCUGCACUCCAUGGACUAAAUUAUGAUGAAACUGAAACACAAAAAAUUUAGAUUAACUCUUAGGUGACAAAGCCAGGAUUGAAGCUCAUGCGGUCUGGCUCCAGAACAACUCUUCUUCAUAGUUACGUUAUACUGCCCCUGCAUUGUUGGUAUUGAAAAUAACUGAUACCGUGCUUCCAGAAGAUUUUUCUAACAGUGUUUGCAAGCUAUAAAAUAGUGCUUUCACUUAGAAAAGGCUAGACGUGGUGGUUCAUGCCUGUAAUCCCAGCACUUUGAGAGGCCGAGGCACCAUGCUGGGAGAUAAGGAUCCAACAUAAGACAAACAGUGCUGAUGCUUUUGGAAAGCUCAUAUUCAAGCUGGGGAGACAAACAACAUACAAAAACUCACUCUGUCACUCAGGCUGGAGUGCAAUGGCAC